rnacentral:rRNA from 1 species
CCUACGGGAGGCAGCAGUAGGGAAUCUUCCACAAUGGACGAAAGUCUGACGGAGCGACGCCGCGUGAGGGAAGAAGGGCUUCGGCUCGUAAACCUCUGUCGGCAGGGAAGAACGAUCACGGUACUAAUCAGCCGUUAUUUGACGGUACCUACUUAGAAAGUAACGGCUAACUACGUGCCAGCAGCCGCGGUAAUACGGAGGUUGCAAGCGUUGAUCGGAUUUACUGGGCGUAAAGCGCGCGUAGGCGGUAUGUUAAGUCAGAUGUGAAAGCCUUGGGCUCAACGGGGGAAUUGCCUUAGAAACUGGUAAACUUGAGUGGAGAAGAGGAUAGUGGAAGUCCAGGGGUAGGGGUGGAAUGCGUAGAUAUAUGGAGGAACACCAGUGGCGAAGGCGACUAUCUGGUCUACAACUGACGCUGAGGAGCGAAAGCGUGGGUAGCAAACAGGAUUAGAUACCCCAGUAGUC